GCUCCCGUGGCCUAAUGGAUAAGGCGCCAGCCUCCGGAGCUGGAGAUUGUGGGUUCAAGUCCCACCGGGUGCG